AGUUCGGUAUUGCUUCCAGGAAGCAGGAGAUUGAGAUCAGACAACGUGUAGCCUUAUCUCUGUCCUGGUCCCACCUGGCGGUUCUGCUCUGCAGCACAGCGCUCUGUGUGUCGUUGUAGAGGAAAGGGUUUGGAGGGCAGUGCUGUAUCUCAGGUUUUGCUGCUUCUAAUUUUUCAUAAGCACCCGUAGCAGUUCAGCCCUGUGUUAAAGUAACCCAAACAGCCCUACCUUCACAUUCUGAAACCCGGUGCUGUGCAGAAGCAGCAAGUAAAUAGGAUUUUCAGGGUGCAGUCUGAAAGGUCUCGAUACUAAUAUUUAUACAAAGCCAAGAAACAAAGAGCAAGCCUUGGUGUGUAUCAGGUGAGCCACGUUUCCUGGAUCUGUUCAAACCUGAAGGAAACACUUCUCAGAAAUUGAAAUGAAGCUCCCAGGGACUUGCAAUACGAUGCUGAGCCUUCCAGCUAUUCUGUAUUCUUUCCUGUCUGAACAUUGUGUUUCUACAUGAAAUACCUGCAAAGGAAAUGCGAUCAGAAAGAAGGUACAAUACUGUCUGCAGCCAUCUGAGGGAUCUCUGUGUGUUGUAUGGGUAAGAAGCUGGCUGUAAGCAAGGAAAAGGCCUGAAAGACUUGUGUAAACGUUGGUCUUCAGCAGAGGGAUGAUUUUCCACAGGGAAAGGGGAAGGUGUGGGUGCCCGGGGAGCUGCUCCAGAAGGUGAUGCUUUGAAGCUGUGGCCGUGGUGCCAGGUGCUGCUCAGGAAGGUAAAAGCCCCCCCACGGCCUCUCGUGCCGCCCUCUGGCAAAUGGGGCUCUCAUUUGUGCUGCUGCUAAGCAGUAAUGCUGCUGUGGACGAGGGCAGCGCUGGGUUUAUGCCUUUUCACGUGGCUGAACAGAGCACACGAAGGCUUUUAAAUACUGGUUUGUCCUCCUGCAGGAGCUUCAUCCACUGCAGGCAGCGGGCAGGAAAGAAACAUCAGAAAGAAACUGUUUCCUGGUUAUUUACUUGCGGUUCCUUGUUUCAUUCUAGUAGGGAAGGAAGGAAGAGGAAAGGGGAGGCAGUGUUGUUCCUCCCAAAGAGAACUGAGCGUUUCAGCCCUUACCAUUUUAUCUGGAUUUUUGGCUGUUUUUCACCAGAAAUCUGGAAGAAUCUUGGAUGGAAUUCGUAACGACUUUUCACCUUAAAAAACAAAACAACUCAUUAGAAGUGUUUGUAAAAGAAAGGCUUUUUUUCGCUCCCCGCCUUUGUGCAGCGCUGUGCUCCUUUCUGUUCAACGUGAAAUUCAGUGGCAGGUCUGUUAUCUCCUCCUUCACGAGUGUUUUGGGUACAGCUGGCCUCAGAACGGGGACGGGGGAGUGGGAGGAAGCCUGCGCUGGCACUUGCUAGAACCAGUGCUGUCUUUUGGCCCGCGAGGCCUUGGAAACAAAAAUGCACUGUUAGUAUUUGGGCACGAGGCCAGCUGCAUCAUCUGCCUCCUCCUGAAGGGAAGCAGUAUUUCAGGGCGAGAGGAGCUGUGCGUAAAGCCCGAACCCAGAAAAGAGCAUCACCCCCUGGAUUUCAUCUCUCACGGCUGUGCAAAUCAAACAGGAGGUGAAUCCUUCUGGCCGGGCUGAUGGCUCCUUGCUGCUCCCGCACCACUUAGCUCUGUAGUUACCCAGAGAGCUCUCGGCCACGCAGAAGCGCGACAGCAGCAAGACCUACCGGGCUCCUUGGUCUGUCGUAUGUGCAAAGCCAUUGUAAGCAAACUCCCUGAGGUGGUGGGCCUUAUUUCCAAGAAUAGCGAGUAAAUGGCUCACGGUGAUCUCAACUAUAAACGCACUUCUCGAAUUCUGC
ensembl:lncRNA